ensembl:lncRNA
GGCUGGAGGCAAACACCGAGCUCCCCCUGAGUCGCUUGGGAGCAGGGAGGGUUCUGCUACCCUGAGGGGCCCUCCCCGCGGGGCAGAGGGUGGGAGGAACUCACGGCAUGUACUUCUGAAUGUAUGCUUGCCUUGAGGAACAACGACAGGACACAGGGAUGUGGACAUUUUCAAUCAGAUGGUUCUGUCCGACAGUGUCGGCACACAAAGCCUCCGAUUCUACACAGAAGAAGGAUGGUGGCCAUAGAGACUCCUGUCCUUCCAGCAUGAGGAUCAUAAGGAGAGCGGGCUGAAUUCAGAGCCAGAAUCUGAAGAUAAGCACAAGAGGAGAGCGUUCCACUGACUGACCUCUUUUUGUUUUCAAAUGAAGAGAAGCCAAGAAUAGGACGGCCUAGGAAGCUCAUCCUCGUCUAUGGCCAAAAGUUGGUUUCUCGUUUCUAGAAGAUGAAAGAUGUGAUGAUUUAGGAAAAAGCCAUUCUCUCUGCUUACUGCUUGCUGUUUGAGAUGUGCGUCUUCACACAUUCCUACCGACGUAUCUGACCGAUGCUGCCAAGAUUACCUGAUGGGAUGGACGCUAAUGCCUCUACAACCAGAAGCCCAAGUAAACUCUUCUAUAAGUUGAAUUAAUUAUGCUUUUUAAAAAAAAUCUUUAUUUUAUGUGCAUUGAUGUUUCGACUACAUGUAUGCCUGUGGGAGAGUGUCAGAGUCCUUAGGAUCGUGGCUACCAAUAGUUGUGAACCACCAUGUGGGUGCUGGGAAUUGAACCCGGGUCCUUUAGAAGAGCAGCCAGUGCUCUUAACCACUGGACCACUCCUCUAUAUCCCCAUCAUGGUGCUUUAAUUACAGCAAAGGAAAAAUAACAAACAUAACCAGGUUAGUCAGCGGGCACACUGAUGACAGAUCUUCCUAAGGGCAAUCAUUAGUGGGAGGGCUUACCCUGGAUGGGACAGCACUCUUCUGUGGGUUUGGGUCUUGGACAGGGUAAACGUAGAGAGGGAGUUGAGCACAAGCAAGCAAGCAUGGUCCAUUCUUUCUCUGCUCUUGGCUGUGGAUGUAAUGUGUCUAGCCGCUUCAAGUUUCUGCCUUGCAUCCCGUGCAAUGAUAGACUAUAAUCUGGAGUUGUGAGCUAAAACAAAACAAAACCCAUUUUCUCUCCGUAUGUUGCUUUUUGGUCAAAGUAUUUUAUCCCAGUAACAGAAAAGACAUGAGGACCGGCAAGAAGAGGACAUACCAUAGAGUCAGGAGCAGGAUGUAGUACCAAGUUGUAGAGGCCAGGGAGGAAUAUAGGCACAGAGCAGCCGCAGUCAGAAUGUGCAGGGAGAAGAGUGAGAGAGGAUGUAUCUAGGAGGUGAGCUGGCUCAAACAAUAACAGCCUGGUCUUGCUAUCUGAAGUUUACCUUCAGGCAGAGGGAGCCACUAACUGUCCUAGUAUGAAGGAAGGACACUGGGUGAUUUUUGCACUUGUGUGUGCGUGCGUGCAUGCAUGUCCCUCCUCUAGAGACUGAGCUUUGCACAUAUAUCACACGGCUUCAGUCCCAGUCCCAUGUUUUGGUUUCAAUCAAGUUUUAUACAAAUGUUUAAUGGGAAAAAUUAUGAGUUUAUUCUUUUAUUUCUCAUUAAUAAUAUUUUUGGGUUUUUAUUUGGUAAAUUCUAAAACAAGAUGAUUAUUUCAAAAGAGAAAUCCGCUUCACCCUGCCUCUGACUUUUCCACCAGACGUAAUCAGAAUCCUAGAGGAAGUCACAAGUUAAAGUUAGGACUCUGUUCAUAGUCGGUUCUGUUUCUAUAACAUCCAACAUACAGUGUCCAGCCCAAGUACAAAACAUUUUAGGAGGUUGGGGAUUUAGCUCAGUGGUAGAGCGCUUGCCUAGCAAGCGCAAGGCCCUGGGUUCGGUCCCCAGCUCUGAAAAAAAGAAAAGAAAAAAAAACAUUUUAGAAUUAAUGGAGUACCCAAGUUGUGUCCCUUCUGCAUAGCAUUAUAUGGAAAUUAAUAUACACAAGAGAAAAAAAAACCUGAUAGAUGUAAUCAAGUUCAGACAUUUUGGUUCUGAUAUCUUAUUUUUAACUUAUUUUAAUUGGCAUGUAAUGCUUGCUUGUAUUUAUAGGGUAGCGUGUGAUUAUUCAAUCCAUACAUGCAACGUGCAUAUAUCAAGUCAGCAAGAUUGGCCUUUCUGUCUUAUUGGACAUCUGUCAUGCUUCUGUGUCUGGAGCCUGCAAAGGCCUCUCUUCUAGCUCUUUGUAAAUGUGGAGUAAGUUGUGAAAACCAUAUUCACCAUGUUAUGUUAUCAUUGCUUUCUAACUGGUGUCCAUUAUUCAGUCUCCCUCUGUCCCACAUCUCCUACCUCCAAAGCCUCUUUCUACGACAUGCUAUUAUGUUAUGUUUUCAGGAAUCGAUUAUACGGAGGAGAAUGGGUGCACAGUAGUACUAGGGCCAGUGUGGAGGAUAUUGCAGUACCUAGAAAAGGAAAUGAUGUCGAUCCAAGCUUGCCAAGGGCAGCAGGGAUGCAGAGACGAGGGUCUGAGAGGCACAAAGCCGGUGCUCCAGGUAGGGCCAGAGAUGUUCUGAUGCUCCAGGCUUUGGUGGGCAGGGGUGGGGGGUAACGGGCAAGGAAGGAAGACCUGUUGGGCAGAGCCGAGGGCAGAAACCCUUCCAUUCCCCUGAGGACCUCCUGGAUGUCACUGGAGCUGGGGACUUUGCUGUGCAAUGCAAAGGAGGUUUCAUGAUGAAGUCAGACCCUGGCAGCUAGAGGGGAUGGGGCUCUUAACACCUGCCAGACUGUUAAGACCGAAUCCGUGUGGAACCUAGGCUGCAAAUGAGAGGUCUUCAGUACCUGCAGCCAAGCAGGGCCUGACAAGCUGUUUCCAUGGAGACACAGAGCUGUGUGCAGGCGUAGGCGGGUUGAUCCAUUCCAGAGCCUUGGGUCACAAGGCUGUAGCGAGCUAACAGGAAGAAGGUGUUAUCGAUCAGGAAAGGAUGUACAAAGCAUUGGCAGCUAAUUGAGGUUGUGUUGUCAUAAUUCUGGAUUAAGUUUAACAAAUCAGGGUCCUGUUGGCCCCCACUUAGCAAGAGCACAAGGAAGCAGACACUAAUUCAGGCUAACUCUGAAUGUGCAGACACCCAGCCCAAGCCACUCUGUACCCUUGAGCUCUUAAGUAGCUACAUAUCUCUUCCAACUGUCGGAGACACAGACAGCAACCGGGGAGCUAAUCUUUUUUUCAUUUGUCAUAGGAAUGGCAGAAAUAUUCAGGAAACCUAAGCCCGACUCUUGAAAAAAAAAUUCAGAUGCUGGCAGAGCCCCAAAAUGGAUAUUGGGAAGCAUUUUGAGAACUACUGUUCACAGAGAGCACAGAGAGAAGCUUCCAGCACUUUGGAGGCAGAGGUUAUUGGGAUAGGAGCUCUAACCUGCCCAGGGAGUCAGACCUUGUCAAUCAAAGUCUCAACACAUCCUUGCUGUGGAUACUAAAUCCCACCCUGUUCUCCAAAAAGUGCAGCCAAGAGGUGGAGGGCUUCAUCCCUGACUAAGCCUCCGCUUAGGACACUCUCACGUCCAGAAGGUCAUAAGGGCACCUGGAUAAGACAUCGUGAGUGAACCUCUAUGGCUUCUCCAGUAUUGAAAGCCACAUCAGUUGCACACGUUUCUAAGAGGGUCCGCUGGUGCACGUGUUUAUGAAGAUGUCUCACAAUAUAAAGAGAUUUCAGUUCUUUGUGCCACCCACAUCCUUGAGUAUGUCUCCUGAGACACACGUGGGAGUCUGUCUGGGGUAUAAAUGAGGAUGGACGUUGCCCGAAAUGCAUAUGGGCUUUUGACUUCACCCGGUUGCUUUCGGGACUAUUGUGCACAAUGGCCAAAUGGAGGCUCUCUUUUUCAUUUACCAAUUACUCUUCUUAAAGAAAUACGUGAGGAGGAGCGUUAUGGGUUCCCAAGGUAUGAGAGACUGGUUCUUGCUCUGAAGAAGGUUUCAUUCUCAUCCGAAUGGAGAGACAUUUGCACUUGAAGGCAGCUGUGAUUUGGGAGCCCAGGAUGUGAGGAAUGUGUGCCACUGAAGUAAGGACCCACCCAGAAUGUGGGCUAAGCCUCCCCUCUCAUGACCCUCAACUGAAAUCACAGCUUUUGCCAUGGAAUGCAGAGAUGAAUCCUGGGGCAGCAGCGAGUGUGAGAAGAGAAGGGAAGCAGAAUAAGACAAGGUGUUCUGCCAGAGGGAGCUUGAGUAUCCACGGAAAGACGGAAUGCCUGCACAAGUGGCUUCGCAGAACAGUAAUGUGCUACAGGAUGAAGCCAUGCCUCAAUAGGAAGGUUCUUGGAUGCUGUAAGAAGGGACCGACGGGACUGGAGAGAUGGCCCAUGGUUAAGAACACUGGCUGUUGUUCCAGGGGAUCCAGGUUGAAUUCCCAGCACCUACAUGGCAGCUCACAACUGUCUGUCACUCCAAUUCCAGAGGAUACGGCCACCCUCACACAGACAUACAUUACGAUGGUCACGUGAGGAUCCAGACACACAAGGAGAACACCAUGUGAAGAUGGAUACUGAAUUGAAGUGCUGCCGUUGUGAGCCUUGGAAUGCCCCUGGCUGAAAAGGCAAGAGAUUUUCUCUAUAGGAUUGACAGGGAGCAGGCUCUGCCAACACACUAUAUUCCCG